rnacentral:tRNA from 1 species
GCCCCUGAAGCUCAAUGGAUGAGCGUGGCUUUAGCGAAGACCAAGGUUGCGGGUUCGAUUCCCGUCAGGGGCACCA